CUUCACUUGGAAAUUUGAAAAACCUUGAAUCGUUGGACCUUUCCUCAAACAAGCUUGUUGGGGAGAUUCCUCAGCAAUUAACAAAUUUGAUGUUUCUUGAGGUACUAAACCUUUCGGACAACCAACUAGCAGGACCAAUUCCUCAAGGGAGGCAGUUUUAUACAUUUGAAAAUGAUUCAUAUAGUGGGAACUUGGCUUUAUGUGGAUUGCCUUUAUCAAAGAAAUGUAAGGAACUACUGCCACUGCCACCUCUACCAACACUCCAACAAGAUGAGAAUUCAGACAAGUCAAGCGGAUUUAACUGGCAAGUUGUAGUGUUGGGGUAUGGAUGCGGAUUUUUAUUUGGAAUGAUUAUGGGAUAUCUUAUGUUUGUAACUCGAAGACCCGAAUGGCUUAUGAAAAUUGUUGAAGGAAAACAUCAUAAGAAGGUGAAAAGGUCUAAGAAGGGUGCCCACUGAUGCAGUGAAAGAAGAAAUCAAUAAAGACAAAUGGCAUUAUUCGGUUUGUUCCAUUAAGUAGCACAAUAAAGCAAUGGUAUCCACUUGAAGGGGUGUUUCACCUAGCUACUGCAUUUGAGUGGGUGAGCAUCUGGAUAACAGCCAUA